rnacentral:rRNA from 1 species
CCUACGGGCGGCAGCAGUAACGAAUCUUCCGCAAUGGACGCAAGUCUGACGGAGCAACGCCGCGUGCAGGACGACGGCCUUCGGGUUGUAAACUGCUUUUCUGGGGGACGAGACACGGACGGUACCCCAGGAAUCAGUCCCGGCUAACUACGUGCCAGCAGCCGCGGUAAUACGUAGGGGGCAAGCGUUGUCCGGAAUUAUUGGGCGUAAAGCGCACGCAGGCGGUUGCACGCGUUUCCGGUGCCAGCUCGUUGCUUAACGACGGGAGUGCCGGGAAGACGGUGCGACUUGAGGGCCUCAGAGGGACAUAGAAUUCCGGGUGGAGUGGUGAAAUGCGUAGAUAUCCGGAGGAAUACCAAAGGCGAAGGCAGUGUCCUGGGAGGUGACUGACGCUAAGGUGCGAAAGCCAGGGGAGCGAACGGGAUUAGAUACCCGUGUAGUC